rnacentral:rRNA from 1 species
UUCCAGACUCCUACGGGAGGCAGCAGUGGGGAAUAUUGCACAAUGGGGGGAACCCUGAUGCAGCGACGCCGCGUGGGUGAAGGAGCACCUCGGUGCGUAAAGCCCUAUCGACAGGGAAGAAACAGACGGUACCUGACUAAGAAGCCCCGGCUAACUACGUGCCAGCAGCCGCGGUAAUACGUAGGGGGCAAGCGUUAUCCGGAUUCACUGGGUGUAAAGGGAGCGUAGACGGCAGUGCAAGUCCGGAGUGAAAGCCCGGGGCUCAACCCUGGGACUGCUCUGGAAACUGUAAAGCUGGAGUGCGGGAGGGGCAGGCGGAAUUCCUGGUGUAGCGGUGAAAUGCGUAGAUAUCAGGAGGAACACCGGCGGCGAAGGCGGCCUGCUGGACCGUAACUGACGUUGAGGCUCGAAAGCGUGGGGAGCAAACAGGAUUAGAUACCCUCGUA